rnacentral:lncRNA from 10 species
CUGAACUUUGAUAGUCAUUUAGCAUUUUAUUCACCAAAAGUGUAUUUUCUUGUCCUUCCCUCCUAUAAUUACUGGGGGCAAAAUACCAUAAUAUUUAAAAUGUGCCUACAGAAACUACUAGGAGGCAGAACUAGAAGCAAAUUCUUCUUGGGUUCUUUCCUGGCUUUUCAGAGAGAGCGAGAGAGAGAGAGAGAGAAGGCCAGAUAUUUUUAUUAUAAAUUCCUUGACAGAAAUAAAGACAUGAUAGGAUAAGAAACUCACAGAGUCAGUGAGUAACUUGUUCAGGAUCACAAAGCCAGAAAGUGACAGAAAUCUGAACCCAAAAAACCAUGACUGGAGCCUGCCCUUUAAACCACUGUGCUCUCCUGCCUCCUUGAAGUAAUCAAGAUGGGUGUAUAUCAUUUAAAUACCCUUUUACCAUGAAGACUGUAGAGACCCCGGC